rnacentral:rRNA from 1 species
UACGUAGGUGGCAAGCGUUGUCCGGAAUUAUUGGGCGUAAAGCGCGCGCAGGCGGUCCUUUAAGUCUGAUGUGAAAGCCCACGGCUCAACCGUGGAGGGUCAUUGGAAACUGGGGGACUUGAGUACAGAAGAGAAGAGUGGAAUUCCACGUGUAGCGGUGAAAUGCGUAGAGAUGUGGAGGAACACCAGUGGCGAAGGCGGGUCUCUGGGCAGUAACUGACGCUGAGGAGCGAAAGCGUGGGGAGCGAACAGG